GCGCCCGUGGCCUAAUGGA
rnacentral:siRNA from 1 species